AGUCGAGCGGAUGAGAGGAGCUUGCUCCUCGAUUCAGCGGCGGACGGGUGAGUAAUGCCUAGGAAUCUGCCUAGUAGUGGGGGACAACGUUUCGAAAGGAACGCUAAUACCGCAUACGUCCUACGGGAGAAAGUGGGGGAUCUUCGGACCUCACGCUAUUAGAUGAGCCUAGGUCGGAUUAGCUAGUUGGUAGGGUAAAGGCCUACCAAGGCGACGAUCCGUAACUGGUCUGAGAGGAUGAUCAGUCACACUGGAACUGAGACACGGUCCAGACUCCUACGGGAGGCAGCAGUGGGGAAUAUUGGACAAUGGGCGAAAGCCUGAUCCAGCCAUGCCGCGUGUGUGAAGAAGGCCCUCGGGUCGUAAAGCACUUUAAGUUGGGAGGAAGGGCUUACAGCGAAUACCUGUGAGUUUUGACGUUACCGACAGAAUAAGCACCGGCUAACUCUGUGCCAGCAGCCGCGGUAAUACAGAGGGUGCAAGCGUUAAUCGGAAUUACUGGGCGUAAAGCGCGCGUAGGCGGUUUGUCAAGUCGAAUGUGAAAUCCCCGGGCUCAACCUGGGAACUGCAUCCGAAACUGGCAAGCUAGAGUAUGGUAGAGAGUGGUGGAAUUUCCUGUGUAGCGGUGAAAUGCGUAGAUAUAGGAAGGAACAUCAGUGGCGAAGGCGACCACCUGGACCAAUACUGACGCUGAGGUGCGAAAGCGUGGGGAGCAAACAGGAUUAGAUACCCUGGUAGUCCACGCCGUAAACGAUGUCAACUAGCCGUUGGGAUCCUUGAGAUCUUAGUGGCGCAGCUAACGCAUUAAGUUGACCGCCUGGGGAGUACGGCCGCAAGGUUAAAACUCAAAUGAAUUGAC
rnacentral:rRNA from 1 species